CCCGCUGAACUUAAGCAUAUCAAUAAGCGGAGGAAAAGAAACUAACAAGGAUUCCCCUAGUAACUGCGAGUGAAGCGGGAAAAGCUCAAAUUUAAAAUCUGGCUGCCUCUGGUGGUCCGAGUUGUAAUCUGGAGAAGCGUUUUCCGCGUCGGACCGUGUACAAGUCUUCUGGAAUGGAGCGUCAUAGAGGGUGAGAAUCCCGUCUCUGACACGGACUGCCGAUGCUUUUGUGAUGCGCUCUCGAAGAGUCGAGUUGUUUGGGAAUGCAGCUCAAAAUGGGUGGUAAAUUCCAUCUAAAGCUAAAUAUUGGCGAGAGACCGAUAGCGAACAAGUACCGUGAGGGAAAGAUGAAAAGCACUUUGGAAAGAGAGUUAAACAGUACGUGAAAUUGUUGAAAGGGAAACGCUUGAAGUCAGUCGCGUCGUCCGAGACUCAGCCUGGCUUGCCUGGUGUACUUCUCGGUUGACGGGUCAGCAUCAGUUUUGACCGCCGGACAAAGGCCAGAGGAAUGUGGCAUCCCUCGGGAUGUGUUAUAGCCUCUGGUUCGCAUACGGCGAUUGGGACUGAGGAACUCAGCACGCCUUUAUGGUCGGGGUUCGCCCACGUAACGUGCUUAGGAUGCUGGCAUAAUGGCUUUAAGCGACCCGUCUUGAAACACGG
rnacentral:rRNA from 1 species